rnacentral:rRNA from 1 species
UACGUAGGGUGCAAGCGUUGUCCGGAAUUAUUGGGCGUAAAGAGCUCGUAGGCGGUCUGUCGCGUCGGAUGUGAAAACCCAGGGCUCAACCCUGGGCCUGCAUUCGAUACGGGCAGACUAGAGUUCGGUAGGGGAGACUGGAAUUCCUGGUGUAGCAGUGAAAUGCGUAGAUAUCAGGAGGAACACCGAUGGCGAAGGCAGGUCUCUGGGCUGACACUGACGCUCAUGCACGAAAGCGUGGGGAGCAAACAGG